rnacentral:rRNA from 1 species
AGUGAACGCUGGCGGUAGGCCUAACACAUGCAAGUCGAACGGCAGCACAGUAAGAGCUUGCUCUUACGGGUGGCGAGUGGCGGACGGUUGAGGAAUACAUCGGAAUCUACUUUUCGUGGGGGCUAACGUCGGGAACCUUACGCUAAUACCGCAUACGAGCGACGGGUGAAAGCAGGGGAUCGUCGGACCUUGCGCGAAUGCAUGAUCCGAUGUCGGAUUAGCUAGUUGGCGGGGUAAAGGCCCACCAAGGCGACGAUCCGUAGCUGGUCUGAGAGGAUGAUCAGCCACACUGGAACUGAGACACGGUCCAGACUCCUACGGGAGGCAGCAGUGGGGAAUAUUGGACAAUGGGCGCAAGCCUGAUCCAGCCAUACCGCGUGAGUGAAGAAGGCCUUCGGGUUGUAAAGCCCUUUUGUUGGGAAAGAAAAGCAGCAGGUUAAUACCCCGCUGUUCUGACGGUACCCAAAGAAUAAGCACCGGCUAACUUCGUG